ACGGAAGGCAGCAGUGAGGAAUAUUGGUCAAUGGGCGGAAGCCUGAACCAGCCAAGUCGCGUGAAGGAUGAAGGUAUUAUGUAUUGUAAACUUCUUUAGACGUAGAGAAAUAAGGGUGUCGUGACACCUGAUGCUAGUAUACGUAGAAUAAGGAUCGGCUAACUCCGUGACAGCAGCCGCGGUAAUACGGAGGAUCCGAGCGUUAUCCGGAUUUAUUGGGUUUAAAGGGUGCGCAGGCGGUCUUUUAAGUCAGUGGUUAAAUCAUGGAGCUUAACUCCAUCCCGCCAUUGAUACUGGAGGACUUGAUUGCGGUUGAGGUUGGCGGAAUUCGCCGUGUAGCGGUGAAAUGCAUAGAUAUGGCGAAGAACUCCGAUUGCGUAGGCAGCUGACCAAGCCGUAAAUGACGCUCAUGCACGAAAGUGCGGGGAUCGAACAGGAUUAGAUACCCUGGUA
rnacentral:rRNA from 1 species